rnacentral:rRNA from 1 species
UGGUGGCGUGUCUUAUACAUGCAAGUCGAGCGAGGCAGCAAUGCCGAGCCCGAACGGGUGAGUAACGCGUAAGCAAUCUGCCCCAUAUCAGGAAAUACCCGUGCCAACGCGCGGUUAAUGUCCAGGAGAGUGGCCUUCUGCAUGGAAGGUUGACUAGAGAUUUAUCGGUAUGGGAUGAGCUUGCGUCCGAUUAGCUAGUUGGCGGGGCAACGGCCCACCAAGGCGACGAUCGGUAGCCGGCCGAGAGGGUGAUCGGCCACAUUGGGACUGAGAUACGGCCCAGACUCCUACGGGAGGCAGCAGUAGGGAAUAUUGCACAAUGGGGGAAACCCUGAUGCAGCAACGCCACGUGUGGGAAGAACAUUUCGGUGUGUAAACCACUGUCAUGAGGGAAUAAGCCCGCUACGGACGGGAUUGAAUGUACCUUGAGAGAAGCACCGGCAAACUCGUGCCAGCAGCCGCGGUAAUACGAGGGGUGCAACGUUGUUCGGAAUUACUGGCGUAAAGGGAGCGUAGGCGAGAUUCAAGCGGAUUGUACAAUCCCGGGGCCCACCCCGGCUCUGCAUCCGAACUGGAUCUCUUGGAUAGUUCAGGGGGCAGGCGGAAUUCCUGGGUAGCGGUGGAAUGCGUAGAGAUCAGGAAGAACACCGAUGGCGAAGGCGCCUGCUGGGGACUCAUCGACGCUGAGGCUCGAAAGUGCGGGUAGCAAACAGGAUUAGAUACCCUGGUAGUCCGCACCGUAAACAAUGCAUACUGGGUGUCCGGGGGUUCCCCCGGUACCGUAGCCAACGCGUUAAGUAUGCGCCUGGGGAGUACGUACGCAAGUAUGAAAUCAAAGGAAUUGACGGGGGCCCGCACAAGCGGUGGAGCAUGUGGUUUAAUUCGAAGCAACGCGCAGAACCUUACCAGGGUUUGACAUGGGAACCCGCGGCGAGAGAUCGCCGUUUUGCAGCAAUGCAACGUUCCGCACAGGUGUGCAUGGCUGUCGUCCAGCUCGUGUCGUGAGAUGUUGGGUUAAGUCCCGCAACGAGCGCAACCCACGUUUCCAGUUGCCACCCCAAGGGGCCCUCUGGAGAGACUGCCGGGGACAACCCGAGGAAGGUGUGGAUGACGUCAAGUCCUCAUGGCCCUUACAUCCUGGGCUACACACGUGCUACAAUGGUCGGUACAUGGGUCGCAACAUCGCGAGAUGGAGCCAAUCUCAAAGCCGUCCUCAGUUCGGAUCGGAGUCUGCAACUCGACUCCGUGAAGCUGGAAUCGCUAGUAUCGUGGGUCAGCACACCACGGUGAAU